UCGAACCCAUUCCAGCAUGGAAAAUGGAUGUUAAAUGAUGAUGAUGUACGUUCCAAAUAUCAACUUAAUAAUGACAAAAUUAUUUUACUAAAUUCUUCAAUGUUUGCAAAAUUAAUUGAAACAAAAGUAGUGCAUUUGAAGGGAAAUCCUUUGAUUACCGGAUAACCAUAUUUUUGUAUUCAGUAGGUUGAUGUAAGAUAUUGACUUACAGGUGGUUUAUACUGUAUCAGUAUACCAAUUUUGUGUUGAGGGUGAUCUGACUAACUUAUAAAGAGAAAACAAUAGUCUAUAAACAGUGUUUUGUCAUUUAAAAUAUAGGGAUGAUAAUUUUGUGAAACAGUAUUAAAAAAUACAUUAUCAUAAUGCAUUAUAAUACAUUAUUAUAACAUAUUAUUACCUGUUCCAAAUGGCAAUUUUUAAAGCUUCUUCUUCACUGUAACCAACUGUAACCAUUCAUAUAGUGGAGCAUGUGGAUUUAACCCUUUUGCUACCAUACUUCUGUUGAGAUUCUCUGUGUUUCUUUCAAUUGAUUUUAAAUAUAACAAAGAAUUUAGUAAAAUAACUUAGUUAUCAUUAAGCUAGUAUUAAGAACAUAAAUUGUGACUAAGGUUUGGUGGAAGAUUUUCAUUCGGAACUUUUGAAAACAAGACAUUUGUACUGCAGAGCCAGAGGCAGUUUCAGCUGGUGAUUGUCUUACCUAAGGACAACUUGCAAGAGCCAAAACAAAAUGAAACAAGUCCUCCACUAAGGUGAAUGCCACAGAAAGCCAUAACACAGUACAUAUUUUUUCAUUCAGCUAUUUUUUUAUACAACCUGAAUGCUUUAUACAGGACUUUUUGCUCAAAUAUAUUUAACUCUACAGAAAUGAAUUGUGCAUGUAUAUAUAGAGUGUGUGUAUGUGUAUGAUUUUCAAUGUACACUCUUGUAAUUGAUAUGUAAUAAACAUUUUUCUAUUGCCUUACGUUGACAUUUCUUUAUUCAAGUUACUUCAAGUUUCAUGCUUGUAAAGUGCAAUAAUCAUAUAGGCUUGUAUAGCAUGCACAAUUGGGCAGUUUUCAAGCUCAGUGAUUGCCAGAUCAUGCACAGUGAGCUAUACAAACCUGUGCAAUUACUGCACUAGUCAAACAUGAGACUUGAUGUAGCUCACAUAUAACUCCUGUAUUCAUUAAAUGAUGAACACACACACACGCACACACACACACACACA